rnacentral:rRNA from 1 species
AACGAACGCUGGCGGCAUGCCUAACACAUGCAAGUCGAACGAGACCUUCGGGUCUAGUGGCGCACGGGUGCGUAACGCGUGGGAAUCUACCCUUGGGUUCGGAAUAACAGUUAGAAAUGACUGCUAAUACCGGAUGAUGACGUAAGUCCAAAGUUUUAUCGCCCAAGGAUGAGCCCGCGUAAGAUUAGCUUGUUGGUGGGGUAAUGGCCUACUAAGGCGACGAUCUUAAGCUGGUCCGAGAGGAUGAUCAGCCACACUGGGACUGAGACACGGCCCAGACUCCUACGGGAGGCAGCAGUGGGGAAUAUUGGACAAUGGGCGAAAGCCUGAUCCAGCAAUGCCGCGUGAGUGAUGAAGUCCUUAGGGUUGUAAAGCUCUUUUACCAGGGAUGAUAAUGACAUUACCUGGAGAAUAAGCUCCGGCUAACUCCGUGCCAGCCGCCGCCGUAA